UAUAGGAAGCUAGGAAAUUGGGAAACAGACCAUUCCUGGUGAAAGGCUGGCCACUUCCUCCUUUCCUUAAGCGUGACAAGGUGCACCACUACUCAGCCGAUAACAAAGCAAGCAGAUCCAGCAGCUUGGGGGAUGGGGCACCUGACCAGGAGGCCGCUGAGAGUGGAAAUUUCCAUCAUGUGAUAGGAGGCAGCAUCCCCAGUGUCGCGUUUCCUGUGGACCCUCCCUUCCAGCCCAGCCACCAAUCAUCAGGCGGCAACCUGAGAUGUCAACAAAAGCAUCCUCCCAGGUGGGGCUGAGUUGUCCAGCUGUCCCUCAAGAGUGAAGCCUGGGACCUGCCAGCCCCUGCUCCAGUUUUCUUGGGUUCAUGAUAACAGAGAAGAUCUUGGUCUAUUGUAUAUCCUUAGAGUUUUAGGAGAGCUCCAAGCAAUGUCCAGGUGGUAUGAGAUAACUGGCAAGCCAUUUGUCUUCCGUGAUACAAUCAAAAACUUGAGCCUUUGAUGACUACGCUGGAUCUACCCAACAAUCCUCAAGGGUUUCUUUAAAACUUGUGUUUGAAAGAAUGUGAAGCAACCCUAACCAGCAACAUGAAUAUCUCUGCAAAACCGCACUGUGAAACACAUUUUGAUUUACCAUCCGAACAUUUGCUGGCUCUGGAGCAGACAACUUGAGUCCUGAUUUCAGAGCUACCACCUACCAACUGUGUGGCCUUCACCAAUGGGCUUAAGUUCUAAGUGACUCAGUUUCUCAAUGAGAAAAAUGUAGAGCAUUCCUUAAUACAUUGUUUUCCUUACUUAUUUUCAGACAGUACUACAAACUCAAAUAGUGCUGGAGGAAAAUAAAAUGUUUGCAACUGAGAAAAAAGGGUGACAGAAGAGUUAGAAUUUCUACCAUUUUGACAAAGUUGAAUUGAUUGAAGCUUUCCACUCUAGAAUUAUAUUAACACACUGGUCCCAGGAAUAAUUAUUGGUUUGGUUAUGGAUGCUUCUGCUUUAAGUCUCUAUUAAAAAUAUUCCCAAAAUACAUUCCUUUGAACUAAAGCUAAUACUUGAAAACAGAGUUCCAUGCGGCUAUAAGUUUGGAAAACAUUGUGCUAAAAAUUAUUGUGGGAUUCCUCUGGGGUUUGAAUCAGUCUCUUAAAGGUGGAUGGAGCAUGUAGUAUCUCUCUAUCACCAUGAACCCUUUUUGGAGAAACAUUUCUAAGGUU